rnacentral:rRNA from 1 species
UGGGGAAUAUUGCACAAUGGGGGAAACCCUGAUGCAGCAACGCCGCGUGAGUGAAGAAGUAUUUCGGUAUGUAAAGCUCUAUCAGCAGGGAAGAAGAUGACGGUACCUGAAUAAGAAGCCCCGGCUAACUACGUGCCAGCAGCCGCGGUAAUACGUAGGGGGCAAGCGUUAUCCGGAUUUACUGGGUGUAAAGGGAGCGCAGACGGCAGUGCAAGUCUGGAGUGAAAGCCCGGGGCCAACCCGAACAUGCUCUGAACUGAUGCUGCUGGAGUACUGGAGGGGCAGGCGGAAUUCCUAGUGUAGCGGUGAAAUGCGUAGAUAUUAGGAGGAACACCAGUGGCGAAAGGCGGCCUGCUGGACAGUAACUGACGUUGAGGCUCGAAAGCGUGGGGAGCAAACAAGGAUUAGAUACC